rnacentral:lncRNA from 1 species
GCUUUAAUCAGCUUAUGCAGAAGGUUUGGUCAUUUGCAAAGGUUUUGAACGUUUUUGAGAGAAAAGGGAGGUUUUGAUGGUUUUGUGUUUUUGAAGAGAAGUUGCUGUGUUUGGAUUCUUCAGCUUCUUGGAUCAAGAGGUAAGUGAAGAUCUUAAGCUUGUUUUAAUGAGUUUUAACAGCGUUUAAAGAGGUUAAGGGUAGAGUUGCAUGUUUAGGUUUUAAAGCUUAGUUUUGAUGCUUUAAUGGUGUAAGCAUGAUUAUGUGUUAUAGUUGCUGUUUUGUUGGGGUUAAUAGGUAGUUUUGGACCCCUUUGUGCAUAUACCAGAGUAUAUGCAAGUUAAAAAGGAGUUAUGCAUGUUGGAGUGGUGUUGGUGCUUGGCAGGAGAUGGUUGUGCACGAAG